GUAACACCCGAAGUCGGUGAGGUAACCUUUUUGGAGCCAGCCGCCUAAGGUGGGAUAGAUGAUUGGGGUGAAGUCGUAACAAGGUAGCCGUAUCGGAAGGUGCGGCUGGAUCACCUCCUUUCUAAGGAA
rnacentral:rRNA from 1 species